rnacentral:rRNA from 1 species
AGCGAGACCCACGCCAACAGUUGCCAGCUCGUCCUCCGGGAUGGAGGGGACACUGUUGGGACCGCCUCUGCUAAAGAGGAGGAAGGAAUGGGCAACGGUAGGUCAGCAUGCCCCGAAUUAUCUGGGCUACACGCGGGCUACAAUGGGUGGGACAAUGGGUAUCGACACCGAAAGGUGAAGGCAAUCUCCUAAACCCAUCCUUAGUUCGGAUUGUGGGUUGCAACUCACCCACAUGAAGCUGGAAUCCGUAGUAAUCGUGUUUCAAAAUAGCACGGUGAAUAUGUCCCUGCUCCUUGCACGAAUUCGCCG